UACGUAGGUGGCGCGCGUUGUCCGGAUUUACUGGGCGUAAAGAGCGCGCAGGCGGUCGUUCAAGUCGCGUGUGAAAGCCCCCGGCUCAACUGGGGAGGGUCACGCGAUACUGAUCGACUCGAAGGCAGGAGAGGGAAGUGGAAUUCCCGGUGUAGUGGUGAAAUGCGUAGAUAUCGGGAGGAACACCAGUGGCGAAGGCGACUUCCUGGCCUGUUCUUGACGCUGAGGCGCGAAAGCUAGGGGAGCAAACGGG
rnacentral:rRNA from 1 species